rnacentral:rRNA from 1 species
GAUGAACGCUGGCGGCGUGCCUAAUACAUGCAAGUCGAGCGAACAGACGAGGAGCUUGCUCCUCUGAUGUUAGCGGCGGACGGGUGAGUAACACGUGGAUAACCUACCUAUAAGACUGGGAUAACUUCGGGAAACCGGAGCUAAUACCGGAUAACAUGUUGAACCGCAUGGUUCAACAGUGAAAGACGGUCUUGCUGUCACUUAUAGAUGGAUCCGCGCCGCAUUAGCUAGUUGGUAAGGUAACGGCUUACCAAGGCAACGAUGCGUAGCCGACCUGAGAGGGUGAUCGGCCACACUGGAACUGAGACACGGUCCAGACUCCUACGGGAGGCAGCAGUAGGGAAUCUUCCGCAAGGGGCGAAAGCCUGACGGAGCAACGCCGCGUGAGUGAAGAAGGUCUUCGGAUCGUAAAACUCUGUUAUUAGGGAAGAACAAAUGUGUAAGUAACUAUGCACGUCUUGACGGUACCUAAGCAGAAAGCCACGGCUAACUACGG